rnacentral:rRNA from 1 species
GACGAACGCUGGCGGCGUGCUUAACACAUGCAAGUCGUACGGUAAGGCCCUUUCGGGGGUACACGAGUGGCGAACGGGUGAGUAACACGGGAGUAACCUGCCCACAACUUUGGGAUAACGCUAGGAAACUGGUGCUAAUACUGGAUAUGUGCCCCUGCUGCAUGGUGGGGGUUGGAAAGCUCCGGCGGUUGUGGAUGGACUCGCGGCCUAUCAGCUUGUUGGUGGGGUAGUGGCCUACCAAGGCGGCGACGGGUAGCCGGCCUGAGAGGGUGACCGGCCACAUUGGGACUGAGAUACGGCCCAGACUCCUACGGGAGGCAGCAGUGGGGAAUAUUGCACAAGGGGCGCAAGCCUGAUGCAGCAGCGCCGCGUGCGGGAUGACGGCCUUCGGGUUGUAAACCGCUUUCAGCAGGGACGAAGCUUUUUGUGACGGUACCUGCAGAAGAAGCACCGGCUAACUACGUG